GACGAACCGUGCGAACGUUGUUCGGAUUCACUGGGCUUAAAGGGCGCGUAGGCGGUCGGCCAAGUCUGGGGGUGAAAUCUUUCGGCUCAACCGGAAAAGUGCCCCCGAUACUGGCCGUCUAGAGGGAGGUAGGGGCAUGUGGAACUUCCGGUGGAGCGGUGAAAUGCGUAGAUAUCGGAAGGAACGCCGGUGGCGAAAGCGACGUGCUGGACCUCAUCUGACGCUGAGGCGCGAAAGCCAGGGGAGCAAACGGG
rnacentral:rRNA from 1 species